AUUGAACGCUGGCGGCAGGCCUAACACAUGCAAGUCGAGCGGAUGAAGGGAGCUUGCUCCUGGAUUCAGCGGCGGACGGGUGAGUAAUGCCUAGGAAUCUGCCUGGUAGUGGGGGAUAACGUCCGGAAACGGGCGCUAAUACCGCAUACGUCCUGAGGGAGAAAGUGGGGGAUCUUCGGACCUCACGCUAUCAGAUGAGCCUAGGUCGGAUUAGCUAGUUGGUGGGGUAAAGGCCUACCAAGGCGACGAUCCGUAACUGGUCUGAGAGGAUGAUCAGUCACACUGGAACUGAGACACGGUCCAGACUCCUACGGGAGGCAGCAGUGGGGAAUAUUGGGCAAUGGGCGAAAGCCUGAUCGAGCCAUGCCGCGUGUGUGAAGAAGGUCUUCGGAUUGUAAAGCACUUUAAGUUGGGAGGAAGGGCAGUAAGUUAAUACCUUGCUGUUUUGACGUUACCAACAGAAUAAGCACCGGCUAACUUCGUG
rnacentral:rRNA from 1 species